GACGAACGCUGGCGGCGUGCCUAAUACAUGCAAGUAGAACGCUGAAGGAGGAGCUUGCUUCUCUGGAUGAGUUGCGAACGGGUGAGUAACGCGUAGGUAACCUGCCUGGUAGCGGGGGAUAACUAUUGGAAACGAUAGCUAAUACCGCAUAACAGUAGAUAUCGCAUGAUAUCUACUUGAAAGGUGCAAUUGCAUCACUACCAGAUGGACCUGCGUUGUAUUAGCUAGUUGGUGAGGUAACGGCUCACCAAGGCGACGAUACAUAGCCGACCUGAGAGGGUGAUCGGCCACACUGGGACUGGGACACGGCCCAGACUCCUACGGGAGGCAGCAGGAGGGAAUCUUCGGCAAUGGACGGAAGUCUGACCGAGCAACGCCGCGGGAGUGAAGAAGGUUUUCGGAUCGUAAAGCUCUGUUGUAAGAGAAGAACGAGUGUGAGAGUGGAAAGUUCACACUGUGACGGUAUCUUACCAGAAAGGGACGGCUAACUACGUG
rnacentral:rRNA from 1 species